rnacentral:lncRNA from 1 species
UCUGCAGGCCUCCAUCUGACUGUGCUCUCACCCCUUCUCUGCUGUCUCUCUGCAGGUGUCCCUCUGAAGAGUCCCUGAGCCUGCUUGCACCCCCUAGAGGCACUCCACAGCCAUGUCCUGGUUGCACUGAGCCUGCCUCCUGCCAGCAUUUCGGGGCUCUGUCCCUGCCCAGCUCCUGGACCCACUCCCCAGCCUAUUCCUCACCCCAGCCUGCACCGAAGUGACUCCUCAAGCUUCAGGACUCAGUGGGGCACAGUGGCAGUCACGUGCAUGCUGGGACCGAGACGGACGGGCCGCCGCUCCCCCUGCCACGCCCCCGGCCCCCAGAGGCCCGGCUGUUUGCCUCCCGGAGCCGUCUGACCCAGGUAGGGGGAGA